UGAGUUGGCUUGGCCAGGGCUAAUGGGCAGUUAACGUCCAACUGGCUCUGAAUUGCAGCCCAGGACUCUCCCAGGGCUCCCCCAGGAGGCACUGUCCAGCCUGGGGCCCCCAGGAGGCACUGU